UACGGGGGGAGCAAGCGUUGUUCGGAUUUACUGGGCGUAAAGGGCGCGUAGGCGGUCGUGACAAGUCACUUGUGAAAUCUCCGGGCUUAACUCGGAGCGGUCAAGUGAUACUGUCGGACUAGAGUACAGAAGGGGCAACUGGAAUUCUCGGUGUAGCGGUGAAAUGCGUAGAUAUCGAGAGGAACACCUGCGGCGAAGGCGGGUUGCUGGGCUGAUACUGGCGCUGAGGCGCGAAAGCCAGGGGAGCGAACGGG
rnacentral:rRNA from 1 species